AUACUUACCUGACGCCAGAGGCACCUUGAUCAACUAGGAGGUCCUCUCAGGAUGAGGCCCUUUCAUUGCACUUCGACUGGGUUGACUCCUGCGAUUACCCCUAAUGUGGGUAACUCGAGCGUAUAAUUUCUGGUAGUGGGGACCUGCGUUCGCGCUCGUCCCCU
rnacentral:snRNA from 1 species